rfam:Parasporobacterium paucivorans DSM 15970 genome assembly, contig: EJ69DRAFT_NODE_3_len_635_cov_61_056694.53
GGUCAAGAUAAUAAGAGCGCAAGGUGGAUGCCUUGGCACUAAGAGCCGACGAAAGACGCGAUAAGCUGCGAAAAGCUUCGGGGAGGAGCAAAUAUCCUACGAUCCGGAGAUGUCUGAAUGGGGAAACCCGGCAGGAGUGAUACCUGUCACUGCAUGGUGAAUACAUAGCCAUGCAGGGGGAACCCGGUGAACUGAAACAUCUAAGUAACCGGAGGAAAAGAAAGAAAACUCGAUUUCCUGAGUAGCGGCGAGCGAAAGGGAAGGAGCCUAAACCGGGAUGCGUGCAUCCCGGGGUUAAGGACCGCAAUAUGUGAGCCGAAAGUUAGAAGAAUGGUUCUGGAAAGACCAGCCGUAGAGAGUGAAAGCCUCGUAAACGAAAACGGAAGGCAGCAAGCGGGAUCCAAAGUACCACGAGACACGAGAAACCUUGUGGGAAUUCGGGGGGACCACCCCCCAAGGCUAAAUACUACUUAGUGACCGAUAGCGCAUAGUACUGUGAAGGAAAGGUGAAAAGAACCCCGGGAGGGGAGUGAAAGAGAACCUGAAACCUUGUGUUUACAAGCUGUGGAACCGCCAUUGAAGGCGGAACCGCGUACUUUUUGUAGAACGGUCCGGCGAGUUGCCUUUGCAGGCAAGGUUAAGCACUUAAGGUGCGGAGCCGCAGGG